UUUUUUCAUAGGAUUUUGAGGAAGACUUCUGGCAAUCAAUGCUGAAAGGUCGAUGUGUUGUACUGGUGAAUUGGGGUUUGAAUGAAGUAGGUGUGAUUACUCUUGACUGUUUUGUGAAAUCGAAGUUACGUCUAUGAUUGAAGAAUUAAAAGGGUGUCUAUAGCAUUGAGUAUGCAGAGUGAAUGAAAAUUUUUGGGUUAAUCUAACAAGACAGUCAGUGGAUACAAGAUUGUGAGUAUAAAGCGAUAUGAAAGAUUAGCAGAUUAAGUUGUUCGGGGUUCUCUAUAACGUCUAGAGACCUACCGACUAGAGCAAAAAGGAUUUCGGCGAGUAGUUGAAGGACAUC
rnacentral:lncRNA from 1 species